UACAGGGGGAGACAGACGGGGAGCUUGGCCAAUUCAGGAGCUGAUACAGCACUCAAAAGCUGGAGACUGAGAACAGAACAGGGUUUGGCUAUGGAGAGCAAUGUGACAGCUGUAAAGUUCUCCAAAACCCUUCCUGAAGAGAGAGAGAGAGAGAGGGCGGAGCCAAGGCUGCCCUGGUAUAAUGGACAGUGGAAAUGACUUUGGGAAACAGGAGGAAGAGCAGCAGAUUAGGCAAUGGAAAAGAGGUAGAUGAGUCUGCAGAAGGAAUGUGGGCAUGACAAAGUUCUCAAAAAGGACCCUCCCUAGUUUUCUCAAAGUUCUCAGAAAGGUGGGGGGGAGGGGGGAGUACUUUCACACCUGCAAGAUUCUGUUAAUGUAACCUUACAGCAAAAAUAGAGCUUGUGCCUCUGUAUGCGCUAUUUGUCUGCACUACUUGGCAAGGCUGACAUCUGGGAGGAGCUGCCAUUGGAAACAGAAUUCUCUGCCACCAGGCUACAGAAGUACAAGUGCUAAGUCUUUUCCAUUAUACUUUCAAUUACAUGCAAAGAUGAGCUAGUCAAUUUCAGGACUUUGCAUUCAUUUGAUCAACACAAAAUAGUCUGCAAAAAAGUCAUCUACAAUUUAAAUGGAUUCUCCUAUAAAUUCAUUGGCUGAAGUGAUAACCAGUAAACUAGCCAGUCAAAACAAUCUAUUACUUGUAAAAAUAUUUCAGGACCAGGAAAAGAUUGCAAUCUUCUACAUGUCUACUCAGAAGUAAUUUUAUUAAUAAUACACUUAUCUUUGAGUUCUUGAACCUUAGUUAUCAGUUCCUUUAAUUCAUUUAUAUGCACUGUUUUAUGUUUAUUGCAUGUAUUAACUGUUGCACAUGUUUUUGUUAACUCUUUUGUAAACCACUAUGUCUGUACUGAUUUGACAGUAUGCAAAUAGAAUAAAAAAUGAAAGUUCAAUAUU